rnacentral:rRNA from 1 species
UACAGGGGGGGCAAGCGUUGUUCGGAAUUACUGGGCGUAAAGGGCCAGUAGGCGGCCAACUAAGUCCGACGUGAAAUCCCAAAGCUUAACUUUGGAACUGCGUCGGAUACUGGAUGGCUUGAAUUCGGGAGAGGGAUGCAGAAUUCCAGGUGUAGCGGUGAAAUGCGUAGAUAUCUGGAGGAAUACCGGUGGCGAAGGCGGCAUCCUGGACCGAUAUUGACACUGAUGAGCGAAAGCUAGGGGAGCAAACGGG